GAUGAACGCUGGCGGCGUGCCUAACACAUGCAAGUCGAACGGAAAGGCGCAGCUUUUGUGGGGUUCUCGAGUGGGGAACGGGUGAGUAACACGUGAGUAACAUGCCCCUGACUGUGGGAUAACUUCAGGAAACUGGGGCUAAUACCGGCUAGGAGCUCCUGCAGCACGGAGGGGGUUGGAAAGUUUCGGCGGUUGGGGAUGUACUCGCGGGUUAUCAGCUUGAUGGUGGGGUAGUGGCUUUCCAAGGCUUUGACGGAUAGCCGGCCUGGGAGGGUGACCGGGCACAUGGGGACUGCGGUAGGGCGCAGACGCGAACGGGAGGCAACAGGGGGGAGUAUUGCGCAGUGGGGGGGAGUGUGAGACGAAGACGCUGGGGGCGGAAAGACGGCCUACGGGGGGGGAACCGAUUUCGGUUGAUACGUAGCGUGAUUGACGGUAAUGGGUAAAGAAGCACCGGCUAACUACGUG
rnacentral:rRNA from 1 species